rnacentral:rRNA from 1 species
UACAGAGGGGGCAAGCGUUAUUCGGAAUUAUUGGGCGUAAAGGGCGCGUAGGCGGCCUUGCAAGUGGCGGGUGAAAUCCCUCGGCUUAACCGAGGAACUGCCUGCCAGACUGCAAGGCUCGAGACCGGGAGAGGUGAGUGGAAUUCCCAGUGUAGCGGUGAAAUGCUUAGAUAUCGUCAAGAACACCGAUAGUGAAGACAGCUUACUAGGCUUCUACUGACGCUGAGGCACGAAAGUGUGGGGAUCAAACAGG